AUUGACCUCGGAUCAGGUAGGGAUACCCGCUGAACUUAAGCAUAUCAAUAAGCGGAGGAAAAGAAACCAACAGGGAUUGCCUCAGUAACGGCGAGUGAAGCGGCAACAGCUCAAAUUUGAAAUCUGGCCCUUUCAGGGUCCGAGUUGUAAUUUGCAGAGGAGGUUUCGGGGGCGGCGCCGGUCUAAGUCCCUUGGAACAGGGCGUCAUAGAGGGUGAGAAUCCCGUAUGGGACCGGUGGCCAACCCCAUGUGAAACUCCUUCGACGAGUCGAGUUGUUUGGGAAUGCAGCUCUAAAUGGGUGGUAAAUUUCAUCUAAAGCUAAAUACCGGCCAGAGACCGAUAGCGCACAAGUAGAGUGAUCGAAAGAUGAAAAGCACUUUGGAAAGAGAGUCAAAAAGUACGUGAAAUUGUUGAAA
rnacentral:rRNA from 1 species